rnacentral:lncRNA from 1 species
UGGGCUUAGCUAGAUGGUUCUAUUUCAAGCUGUUCCUGAGCCUGGCUCCACACUGUAGUUUGGGUUCAGGUCUACUCCACAUAUCUCUCAUCCUCCUUAAACCAGCAUCCACAAAGCAUAUUGUUGCCAUGGCAAAUGUCAGGAGCACAAGCAACCAAUCCACUCAUGAAACACAUUUAAGUCCUUUGCUCAAAUCUCAUUAAUACCAUUUCAUUCUCUGCAGCAGGGAAAAGGGCCAAAUCCAACAUCAGUGAGCUGUAUUUUCUACCCACACUGAGAGGACACUGAAAUACACUGAAAUGCUAUCACAGGGGAUUGAAGAAUUAUGACCAAGACUCUAACCUGAAAAUCACUAUAUUUAACUGUCUGUACUCCCUCUAUGCCUGAAACUUUGAGACUUUUACAGAAAAAGGCCUGUAAUCCCAGCUACUCAGGAGGCUGAAGGAAGAGGAUCACAAGUUUAUGGCCAGAUGGGGCAACUAAGCAAGACUCUGCCUCAAAAAACUCAACAAACAAGGGAUGGAAUUGAAGCCCAGUAGUAGAGUGUUUGCGUAUCAUGUGUGAGGUCCUGGAUUCAAUCCCUGGUAUGGCCCUAAAACAAGAAAGGAAGGAGAAGGAGAGGGAGGAAGCCAGAGAGGAAGAAAAAGAGGGAGGGAGGGAGGGAGAGAGAGAAACACUCUAGUAGGCAACACAUAUUAAAUUGGUUCCCCAGUAGCAAUGAUGGAUUUAAUCUGAUUUACUUCCCUUUCUCUUCUCAUCUCCAUGCACAGCUCAUGAAAAGAACUACAAACAUCAAGCUAGCAGUUCACAGCCAUGAUGUUGAGAUUUUGCUCCUGCAAAACUCACCCAUAUGGAAUUAAGCAUGGAUUGGAUUCUUAUAGCACAGUGAAUGAUGAGAAUGGUCCGGAGGAAAAGCAAAGUGCAGAAGAAAUUGAAGGGCAGAGCCAAGAAGCAGAUGGUGUCAACACCGCCACUGUUCCCAGUCCUGGUACAGAAGAAACAGUUGAAGUUUGUAAAGAUAAAGAAUCUGAAAAGGAUGACAAUAUUAUAAAAGACAUAACAGAUCAUUCUGUUGUUGACCAAGACCGCCCCAAUGGGGAAGAGAAUGAUUCAACAAAGAAUGAAAUCAAAAUCAAGACAGAAUCUCAGAGCUCAUAUAUGGAAACAGAAGAGCCUUCAUCAAACCAAGAAGAUGCCACAAUUGUGGAGCAACCAGAAGUGAUUCCACUGACAGAUGACCAAGACGAAAAAGAAGGUGCAAACGCUCAAGGGGAGGACACACCUACAGCUUCUGUGAAAAGCCAGAGCUCUAGUGACACUGAACCUGCUACAGGUCCUGAUGUUGAAAUGAAUAGUCAGGUUGACAGUGUAAAUGACCCAACAGAGAGUCAGCAAGAAGAUCACCAAUUAAGAAGCCCCUGUGGGGCACAAGGUGAAGCAAAGGAACACAGAAAUGAAACUCAAUGA